UUCCUAAUGUCAAUAAAAUGGUCUAAUGGUACACAAAUCUCAAGACGAUGGAAUGCUGUCAGCGAGCAGCAUGGAAGACGCAGAGAGAGUGGUGGUCAGGUGGUGGUGGAGACAGGGAGAGUAUGUGGCCUGGAGAUUAACAAACAGAACACCAAUAAUCUUGUGACCUCCAUGCAUCCUUCCUAAUGUCAAUAAAGUUGUCUUAUCAUGCCCAAAA